rnacentral:miRNA from 1 species
UUGGGAUUUGCAUACAGUUAC